rnacentral:rRNA from 1 species
AUUGAACGCUGGCGGAAUGCUUUACACAUGCAAGUCGAGCGGCAGCGCGGGGUAACCUGGCGGCGAGCGGCGAACGGGUGAGUAAUACAUCGGAACGUGCCCAGAUGUGGGGGAUAACUACUUGAAAGAGUAGCUAAUACCGCAUGUGAUCUGAGGAUGAAAGCGGGGGACCUUCGGGCCUCGCGCAUUUGGAGCGGCCG